GACGAACGCUGGCGGCGUGCCUAAUACAUGCAAGUCGAGCGAAGUUUUUCUGGUGCUUGCACUAGAAAAACUUAGCGGCGAACGGGUGAGUAACACGUAAAGAACCUGCCUCAUAGACUGGGACAACUAUUGGAAACGAUAGCUAAUACCGGAUAACAGUAUUUCUCGCAUGAGAGAUAUUUAAAAGUUGGUUAUGCUAACACUAUGAGAUGGCUUUGCGGUGCAUUAGCUAGUUGGUGGGGUAAAGGCCCACCAAGGCGACGAUGCAUAGCCGACCUGAGAGGGGGAUCGGCCACACUGGGACUGAGACACGGCCCAUACUCCUACGGGAGGCAGCAGUAGGGAAUCGUCCGCAAUGGGCGAAAGCCUGACGGAGCAACGCCGCGUGAGUGAAGAAGGAUUUCGGUUCGUAAAGCUCUGUUGUUAGGGAAGAAUGUAUAUGUAGUAACUAUACAUGUAAGAGACGGUACCUAGCCAGAAAGCCACGGCUAACUACGUG
rnacentral:rRNA from 1 species